rnacentral:lncRNA from 1 species
UUAGAGCAAAACUUUAGUAUAUAUAAGAACAAUUGGUGGAACAUGAAUUCAAGGCCUUUUUUCACUCGUACAAUCCAACAGCUACUAAUGUUACUGGCUUUUCAUCCUCGCACUUUGAAUGCUUUCAUUGAUAUGAUAUCUUCGUAUCCAUAUUCAUUAGAUCAACAAGUAAAGCAAUUCAAAGUGCUUAAAAUGGAAAUCAUGUCAACCAAGAAGAUAUACCUGUGAUGAUCAAGAGAAGAUAUACCU